UCUCUCCUCCCGCCCACCCCCCCAUACUACAACGUCUAUACACAACCUCCAAAUUUCUCAAACUUCCACUCUCUCUCUCUCUCCUCUAAGCUCUUAACAAUGGCGUUCUCUGUGAAACUACAACCUCCACUCUCUCUCUCCUCUCGAAGAACCACCACGAACAUUCUCUCUCAUCCUUCUCGCUCUCUCUCUUUCCUCAACCUCAAUUCUUCUACUAGAAAUUCUUCACAUUCUCUUUUCGCCAUUAAAGCUUCUUCUUCUUCGCAAUCUCCUUCUUCUUCUCCUUCCACCUCUACUGUCCUCGAAUCUCGUAAUGUAACGAUUAAAUUGGUGCCUACGAAACCUUAUGAUGGCCAGAAAACUGGUACAAGUGGUCUCCGGAAGAAGGUUAAAGUGUUUAUGCAAGAAAACUACCUUGCCAAUUGGAUACAGGCCUUGUUUAAUUCACUGCCUUCGGAGGACUAUGUGAAUGGGGUGUUGGUUCUAGGUGGUGACGGUCGUUACUUUAACAAAGAGGCUGCACAGAUAAUAAUCAAAAUCGCGGCAGCCAAUGGUGUUGCACAAAUUUUAGUUGGGAAGGAUGGUAUUUUGUCAACACCAGCAGUUUCUGCGGUGAUUCGAAAGAGGAAGGCCAAUGGUGGUUUUAUAAUGAGUGCGAGCCAUAAUCCUGGUGGGCCUGAAUAUGAUUGGGGAAUUAAGUUCAACUACAGCAGCGGGCAGCCUGCACCUGAAUCCAUCACGGACAAGAUAUACGGCAACACGCUUUCUAUAUCUGAAAUUAAGAUGGCAACCAUUCCUGAUGUAGAUCUUUCUCGUGUCGGAGUUACAAAAUUUGGCAACUUCGUUGUUGAAGUAGUUGACCCAGUUGCUGACUAUGUGGAGCUGAUGGAGAGUGUUUUUGAUUUUCAGCUUAUCAGAAGUCUUCUAUCACGAGCAGAUUUCAGGUUCACAUUUGACGCCAUGCAUGCAGUUACUGGUGCCUAUGCAAAACCAAUCUUUGUGGACAAGUUAGGAGCCAGUCCGGAAUCAAUAACCAAUGGGGUUCCUUUGGAAGACUUCGGUCACGGUCAUCCAGACCCUAAUCUCACUUAUGCUAAGGAUUUAGUUGACAUACUGUACGGUGAGAAUGGACCUGACUUUGGGGCUGCUAGUGAUGGUGAUGGCGAUAGAAAUAUGAUUCUGGGUAGAAAAUUCUUUGUUACGCCUUCAGAUUCAGUAGCUAUAAUUGCAGCAAAUGCUCAAGAAGCAAUACCAUACUUCCGUGAUGGAAUUAAGGGUUUGGCUCGAUCCAUGCCUACAAGUGGUGCACUUGAUCGUGUUGCUGAAAAAUUGAAUCUUCCCUUUUUUGAGGUUCCCACUGGUUGGAAAUUCUUUGGUAAUCUCAUGGAUUCUGGCAAAUUGUCAAUUUGUGGCGAAGAGAGCUUUGGUACUGGUUCUGAUCACAUCCGUGAAAAGGAUGGCAUAUGGGCUGUUUUAGCUUGGAUGUCAAUCAUUGCUUACAGAAAUAAGGAGAAGAAACCAGCAGAAAAACUAGUUUCUGUCUCAGAUGUAGUAAAAGAAUAUUGGGCAACUUAUGGAAGGAAUUUCUUCUCUAGAUAUGAUUAUGAAGAAUGUGAAUCUGAAGGUGCCAAUAAGAUGGUUGAUUAUCUCAGAGAUUUGGUAUCGAAGAGCAAGCAAGGGGAUAAAUAUGGGGAAUAUGUCCUCCAAUUUGCAGAUGACUUCAGUUACGAAGAUCCUGUUGAUGGAAGUGUGGCAUCAAAGCAAGGUGUUCGAUUCGUGUUUGCUGAUGGGUCAAGAAUAAUAUAUCGAUUAUCGGGUACUGGUUCUGCAGGUGCAACAAUUAGGAUAUACAUUGAGCAAUUUGAGCUUGAUGUCUCAAAACACGAUUUGGAUGCCCAAAUAGCAUUAAAACCAUUGAUAGAUCUUGCAUUAUCUGUAUCGAAGCUAAAGGACUUCACUGGAAGGGAGAAGCCUACUGUCAUCACAUAAGUAAAAAAGUGAUAAAGACAACAGUUUUGGCAAAUAUAGACUUCAUCUUCUUGCCCUAGCUAGUAGAUUUAGAAGCACAAAGACGACAUUCUUCAACCCAGACGCCAAAAACUUCAAAUGCUGAAGGUAUAUACGAUGAGGACUUCGAAAAGGUAAAAGUGGACUAUUUUGGAUUAUUAGUUGUUAAUAUGUUCACUGCAAUCGAAUUUUUUAGAAGCAUGUUAUAAGCACUUUCGGUAAUUAUUAGUAAAAACUACUUUAUUUAUAUCUCAAAACAUAGAAAGAUACAGAUAAAGAGUGUUAACCACACUCCCCUACUAUUACAAAAGGGAAAGAACAAAAAAAAACCAGAAAACAAAGAAGCUGAUUAAACCAGCAUAGGAGAAAAGUGAAAGGCAACAUCACUUC